CCUACGGGAGGCAGCAGUGGGGAAUAUUGCACAAUGGGCGCAAGCCUGAUGCAGCAACGCCGCGUGAGGGACGACGGCCUUCGGGUUGUAAACCUCUUUUAGUAGGGAAGAAGCGAAAGUGACGGUACCUGCAGAAAAAGCACCGGCUAACUACGUGCCAGCAGCCGCGGUAAUACGUAGGGUGCAAGCGUUAUCCGGAAUUAUUGGGCGUAAAGAGCUCGUAGGCGGUUUGUCGCGUCUGCUGUGAAAACUGGAGGCUCAACCUCCAGCCUGCAGUGGGUACGGGCAGACUAGAGUGCGGUAGGGGAGAUUGGAAUUCCUGGUGUAGCGGUGGAAUGCGCAGAUAUCAGGAGGAACACCGAUGGCGAAGGCAGAUCUCUGGGCCGUAACUGACGCUGAGGAGCGAAAGCAUGGGGAGCGAACAGGAUUAGAUACCCUGGUAGUCCAUGCCGUAAACGUUGGGAACUAGAUGUAGGGACCAUUCCACGGUUUCUGUGUCGCAGACUACGACAUAACGUUACCCGUCCGUCGGGAGGUACGGCCGGCGACGGACGUAAACGUUAAAGUUAAGUAAGUUAGUUACGGUCGUUGAGACGUUCGCGACGACGACGACGAGGAGGAGG
rnacentral:rRNA from 1 species